GAUGAACGCUAGCGGCAGGCCUAAUACAUGCAAGUCGAACGCUCAGUAGCAAUACUGGGAGUGGCGCACGGGUGCGUAACGCGUACACAAUCUACCUCUAAGCGGGGGACACCUCCUGGAAACGGGGAUUAAUACCGCAUAAUAUGCCGAAGUCGCAUGACUUUGGUAUUAAAGCAGCAAUGCACUUAGAGAUGAGUGUGCGUCCCAUUAGGUAGUUGGUGAGGUAACGGCUCACCAAGCCUAUGAUGGGUAGCCGGUCUGAGAGGAUGGUCGGCCACACGGGCACUGAGACACGGGCCCGACUCCUACGGGAGGCAGCAGUAAGGAAUAUUGGUCAAUGGUGGAAACACUGAACCAGCCAUGCCGCGUGGAGGAAUAAGGUCCUACGGAUUGUAAACUCCUUUUGACGAGGAAGAAAAUAGUUAGAUUUAUCUAAUUUUGACGGUACUCGUAGAAUAAGCACCGGCUAACUCCGUGCCAGCAGCCGCGGUAAU
rnacentral:rRNA from 1 species